rnacentral:lncRNA from 1 species
CUUGUUCACAGCUGGCUGCUGCCUUUGCCACAGGGCACCUGAAUCUGCUGAUUGAGCCGGGGGAGUUCAAAUAUAAAGCUGGUCCUGCACUAUGGGCACCAGCCUCCCCUUCUGUGUGACACAUCUUGUGUUGACAGCUUGAUAGAAGUGCUAAACUCUCUGAAAACUAAAAGAAUCCUGGAGAGCACACAUCCCACACUCAUUAGCUUGAGGGUACACCUAUACUCCCCUAGCCUGAGUGAGAAAUCCAAAACACCAGACUGCAUCUACAGAGGUACUGGUGGAGUUUACCAGUUCAGGAUCUGA